UACGUAGGCGGCUUUUUAAGUCGGAUGUGAAAUCCCUGAGCUUAACUUAGGAAUUGCAUUCGAUACUGGGGAGCUAGAGUAUGGGAGAGGAUGGUAGAAUUCCAGGUAUAGCGGUGAAAUGCGUAGAGAUCUGGAGGAAUACCGAUGGCGAAGGCAGCCAUCUGGCCUAAUACUGACGCUGAGGUACGAAAGCAUGGGGAGCAAACA
rnacentral:rRNA from 1 species